CCUACGGGAGGCAGCAGUGAGGAAUAUUGGGCAAUGGGCGCGAGCCUGAACCAGCCAAGUAGCGUGAAGGAUGAAUGCCCUACGGGUUGUAAACUUCUUUUAUAUGGGAAUAAAAUGUGACACGAGUGGGAGAUUGUAUGUACGAUAUGAAUAGGGAAGGGCUACCGCCGUGCCAGCAGCCGCGGUAAUACGGAGGAUCCGAGCGGUAUCAGGGUUUAGUGGGUUGAACGGGAGCGUAGGUGGAUUGUUAAGGCAUUUGUGAAAGGUUGCGGCUCCACCGGAAAGUUGCAGUUGAAACUGUCAGUCUUGUGUACCGUAGAGGUGGUCUGAAUUCGU
rnacentral:rRNA from 1 species